rnacentral:rRNA from 1 species
UACGGAGGGUGCGAGCGUUAAUCGGAAUUACUGGGCGUAAAGCGUGCGCAGGCGGUUUGUUAAGUCCGCUGUGAAAGCCCCGGGCUCAACCUGGGAAUGGCGGUGGAAACUGGCGAGCUAGAGUGUAGCAGAGGGGGGUGGAAUUCCACGUGUAGCAGUGAAAUGCGUAGAGAUGUGGAGGAACACCAAUGGCGAAGGCAGCCCCCUGGGUUAACACUGACGCUCAGGCACGAAAGCGUGGGGAGCAAACAGG